rnacentral:rRNA from 1 species
GACGAACGCUGGCGGCGUGCUUAACACAUGCAAGUCGAACGGAAAGGCCCUGCUUUUGUGGGGUGCUCGAGUGGCGAACGGGUGAGUAACACGUGAGUAACCUGCCCUUGACUUUGGGAUAACUUCAGGAAACUGGGGCUAAUACCGGAUAGGAGCUCCUGCUGCAUGGUGGGGGUUGGAAAGUUUCGGCGGUUGGGGAUGGACUCGCGGCUUAUCAGCUUGUUGGUGGGGUAGUGGCUUACCAAGGCUUUGACGGGUAGCCGGCCUGAGAGGGUGACCGGCCACAUUGGGACUGAGAUACGGCCCAGACUCCUACGGGAGGCAGCAGUGGGGAAUAUUGCACAAUGGGCGGAAGUCUGAUGCAGCAACGCCGCGCGCGGGAUGACGGCCUUCGGGUUGUAAACCGCUUUCGCCUGUGACGAAGCGUGAGUGACGGUAAUGGGUAAAGAAGCACCGGCUAACUACGUGCCAGCAGCCGCGGUGAUACGUAGGGUGCGAGCGUUGUCCGGAUUUAUUGGGCGUAAAGGGCUCGUAGGUGGUUGAUCGCGUCGGAAGUGUAAUCUUGGGGCUUAACCCUGAGCGUGCUUUCGAUACGGGUUGACUUGAGGAAGGUAGGGGAGAAUGGAAUUCCUGGUGGAGCGGUGGAAUGCGCAGAUAUCAGGAGGAACACCAGUGGCGAAGGCGGUUCUCUGGGCCUUUCCUGACGCUGAGGAGCGAAAGCGUGGGGAGCGAACAGGCUUAGAUACCCUGGUAGUCCACGCUGUAAACGGUGGGUACUAGGUGUGGGGUCCAUUCCACGGGUUCCGUGCCGUAGCUAACGCUUUAAGUACCCCGCCUGGGGAGUACGGCCGCAAGGCUAAAACUCAAAGGAAUUGACGGGGCCCCGCACAAGCGGCGGAGCAUGCGGAUUAAUUCGAUGCAACGCGUAGAACCUUACCUGGGUUUGACAUGGAUCGGGAGCGCUCAGAGAUGGGUGUGCCUCUUUUGGGGUCGGUUCACAGGUGGUGCAUGGCUGUCGUCAGCUCGUGUCGUGAGAUGUUGGGUUAAGUCCCGCAACGAGCGCAACCCUUGUUCACUGUUGCCAGCACGUUAUGGUGGGGACUCAGUGGAGACCGCCGGGGUCAACUCGGAGGAAGGUGGGGAUGACGUCAAGUCAUCAUGCCCCUUAUGUCCAGGGCUUCACGCAUGCUACAAUGGCUGGUACAGAGAGUGGCGAGCCUGUGAGGGUGAGCGAAUCUCGGAAAGCCGGUCUCAGUUCGGAUUGGGGUCUGCAACUCGACCUCAUGAAGUCGGAGUCGCUAGUAAUCGCAGAUCAGCAACGCUGCGGUGAAUAUGUUCCCGGG